CAAUGCUCGCCCCUACCAACCUCUAAAGUCUCUCUCAAACCUUUGUCUUAUUUACUGUCAUUUUUCAUACACAAUUCCCUUCUCAAAUCAAAACCAUAGAAGCCCAAAGAGCCAGCAAAGCUGUACUUGGAAAUUACAGUUUUAGUUGUGUGAGAGAGAGAGAGAGCAAUCUGAUUUGAUCCAUAGCUGCUGUAGAUUUAACUAAUCCGACAGUCACUAAUCAUGCCGUCAGGUGCGAAGAAGCGAAAAGCUGCCAAGAAGAAGAAGGAGAAUCCAAAUCCGUCCCACAAUCACUCUGAUUCUGCUCCUGCUCACUCUCACGGGGAUGAUGAUGUGAAGCACGAGAAGCUUCUGGCCGAAGCAGAGGCGGGAGGUGCUUCUUCCACGGAAGGAUCUCGAGUUGGGGUGGAGAAGGAUAUCAAGAUUGAGGAUGAAUCGGGUGUGAACGAUAGCAUCAUCGACCACAAUGGGGAAAACAGGAAGCCUUAUGAUGGAGGUUCAUCUGGGAGUUGUGGCAGCAGCAGCAGCAGCUCAGAUGAUGAGAACAGUGGAAUCAAGAAAGGGGAAGCUGAGUCGAGCAUUGCUUCCGAGGUAUCAGUGGGAGUGGAUGAUUCUUUAUCUGGAAAGCCAGUUGAGUCUGUUUGUGAUUCAACUGUGGAAAGCAUCGCUGCAGCCAUAGAAUCUGAUGUGCUUUCUCAAGCUGACAUCUCUGUGGCUCCUCUUGUUGUUGAGUGUACACUAGAGGGGAAUGAGGGGAAAAAGCUUGGCUCGGUCGAAGAAAGAAUUUGCACCUCAGUUGAAGAAGCAGAUGUUGUUGGAUCUGCUGAGAUCACUCCAAAAACCUUAGAUCCAAAAGAAUGUGUUACACAAGAAAAUGAUGAUAGAUCAACACUUCCUAGAGUUGCUUUAGAUAAUGGAGCACAAUGCGUUAAAGAUUCUAACGUUACACAGCCGGUGGUGGCUCCUUCUCCGUAUCCAGUUCAAAAAACGACGUGGAAAAGUUGCUGUGGAUUGUUUGAAAUGUUUUCGGGGUCUGGUGAUUAAUCAAAGUUGUAGAAUCUUGUUGAAGCAGAAGCAGACAUUGUGGCUGAGGGAAGUUGUGGAGGAUGUCAAUGAAGAUCUCCACCAUCAAAACAAAGAAUGUUUUUCCUGUCGCCUCCUUGGAUUUUGUUCCCCUCGCUUCCACAGCGCCUCCAUGGAUGAGGGCGAUGUAGAAGAGCUGAGUAGCUGACAGGAUUGUGAUGAAAGCUUCCAUUGUUAUCUGCAACCAGCCAAAA